rnacentral:rRNA from 1 species
UACGAAUGGGGCAAGCGUUGUUCGGAAUCACUGGGCUUAAAGCGUGCGUAGGCGGAUUUGCAAGUCAGAAGUGAAAUCCCUGGGCUUAACCCAGGAAUUGCUUUUGAAACUGCAAGUCUAGAAUGUUGGAGAGGUUAGCAGAAUUCCGAGUGUAGAGGUGAAAUUCGCAGAUAUUCGGAGGAAUACCAAUGGCGUAGGCAGCUAACUGGACAACUAUUGACGCUGAGGCACGAAAGCGUGGGGAGCAAACAGG